rnacentral:sRNA from 1 species
UAGUUAUUGUAGAUCAAGAAAAAGUGUCGUGAGCAUAAUUUCUUUAUGAGAUUAGGAUUUGAAAGCACAAAGGCCAGGGUAGAGAACUACCAACAAAGGGAAAUAAUCAAGGAGUUUCUGUGUAAGGUGAUAGAUGGGUAAGAAACCUCGCGUGGAGCCUUUGGAGGUGUCUCAUACUAAAGGAGCAAGCUAAAAAAAAACUAUAUAUAGGACUUACUUCCAUUCAAAGUUGUCCAUUCAGCGGCAGCCCCACCGACCAAAUGGCUGUUGGCCUACCGUAUUCUUGCCCGAACGCCCAUAUAGCAAGUUCGCCUUGGUAAGUUACUUCUUGUUUGUUUCCCUUUACAGUGUGUUAUCAUCACACGUUUCAUUGAUCACAUUAU